UUACAUUGACAACCCACACCACAAUGAUUAAAAUCAAUUAAAACUCAGAGUGAACUUCACUACUACUGAUCUGCAGGAGGGGGAGAAACAAGAUGAUGAUGAUGACGACUAUGGAGCAAUGAAGAGGGCUUAUAAACAUUACACACAAACUUGUAAAAUAAAAGGAAUUACCAUACGGUUUCAACACUCCAUGUGGCUGUUCAAGCUUUCUCUCCUCAAAUGGGUUAUAGGUUGCUAAGGAAGGAUUUGAUGGGAAUGAAGCUGAAAAUUGGGUUGUAUAAGUCCUUGACAUGCCCAAGGAAAGUGCACAUAAAGUGUUUGUAAAAAUGCACAAGAGAGAACAAGAGGUGAGCAUGAGCAGUAGGGAAGUCAACAUGAGUUUUCACAGGUUUAUCUCCAUGGAAUUGUUAAAGUUUUCUCUUUGAGAUUCCUUUGCUUACUCUGUUUGGAGGUUUAUCAACCCGUAAUUGUGUGUGUGUGAGAGAGAGAGAGUGUGUGUGUGUGUGAACUUUUACCUAAGGUCUUGAGACAAUAAUUGUUAAUAGUUAGCUCUUUAAACGUAUUCAAAAUCAAUCAGAUGCACAUGUACUGCGUACAAAAAUUGCAACAACAAUAGCAGAGGGUACUAGAAGCAAUACAAAAACAGCAUAUCACAACAAGUAGAAAAAUAGUUUAUUCCUUUCUCACUAAAGGUAAUAGCAAUGAAGUAGAACCAUUAUCAGUGGUGCCCAACUCAUUUCACCAAAUGUUUUGGUACGACUAGGGUAAGAAGUUGUUCUUUUGGAAAAUAGAAGUUUCCCUUGUGUUCAUUGUUAAUUCAAUAUGUGAUUUUGACU